GCUCGGCCGAUCGGUUAUUUCCCGUCCUCCCGGGGGAGUAGCCGGGGCCAUUACCCUUUGUUCCUCAUUCUUUGAUUAACAAGUAUUGGCACGUUCUUCAUGAUUUCCAGCUGGUGCCAGUUGAUACUUGACCGCGUUGCAGCUAUGAAGAAGUGAAAAGAGCAAGAAAACUUGAGGGUCUGUCCAAGGAGGAAGGAUCGCAGACGCACUCUCAAGAUCUGUGUGUUACUUUCUACAGGUCUUCCUUACGUACCCCCAAAGCACCGUGCUGUGACCGUGUGGCCGUGACUCACUGGAGACCACCUCAGUACCCUCAGAAGUUGGGGCCAUUCUGUCUCCCCUCCUGUUCCCUCUCUGGACAGCUGAGCAAGGAAUUCCGUGAGCAAAACCCACUCCUGCUAUUCUCAGUACAGGAAGUCAGGCGGUUUUCUACAGCAAUACUGUAUUUGUGAACCACGUCGGAGAGAGACCUGGGCCCCCGAAGCAGUGGUACAGACUGACUCGCAUCAACACUCCUCAGGACUGGAACUCCCUGAGGCUAGUUCUCCGUUUUUCCUGUCAGCUCUCUAGCAGCGCGAGCACGGAUCUCCCUCCCUCUGUCUGCCCUCCUCGCCAUGCAGGAGUUCUAUUUCCUUACACUUACACAGAUGUGAAUAAGAUAAACAUCUGCUUAGCUCAUCCCACGAGACUGCAUUUGUUCAUCCUGUGCAAAGGAACAGCGUCAUAAAGAGAUACAAAAUAACAGGACCCUGGAAAACAUCUUUAUCUGUGUAGAUGGAUAAAAACGGGCAUAUUGGAAAUGUUGCAAAGAGAAGCUGCAGAACAAUCUGAUGAGUGGAAUCCGUAAGAAGAAAGAAUAGGACUGGAAUGUAUGAAAUGAACUUGCAAGGGCCUUGUAAACAGCAUGCUCAGUGAGCUGAUAACCACAAGGAAAAUGCUGCAACAGAUGUAAAGGCAAGCAGAAUCAGUAAUUUGAGAUGGAAGAGAAUAUUAUUAUUAGAAAGAAACCAACAAGCGUGGAAGACUAAGAAGCAGAAUUAAGGAGACUGGGUAUUGUGAUGGAGCACAGUGGGAAGUGGAUAGCAAUAUGAAAAAUUAAUUUAUCUGAGACAAAAGAGAAUAGAGGAAUUAAAGAUGGAAAGUUAGGCAGAAGUACAGCUAAGGGGAAGAGGAAAACCACACCUUCUGAUAUUUUUUUCAUGGAAGAAAUAUUCCCCUACAAGAGGAAAAAAAUGUGACAGAAAUGAAGGAAACAAGAGCUGAGCCAAAGAUGGAGAAAACUCAACCGGAAUGAUGGUCAGGUAUUCAUUAAAGUGCAAGAAGAGUAGAACUGAGGAAGGGGGGAGGAUGAAGUUUGAGGAAAAACCAUCAAGUGACAGCAGGAGGAGGUAUUGGGGGCAUCGCUAGCCUGGGGACCAUUGGCAGGGGUAGAGUAAGAGCGAGAGAAAAGAUCUGGGACAAAGGAAAUGGGAGUUUUAAGAGAAUCAAAGACCAAAGACCCUCUUCUCCUGUGCGCUCCCCGCAGCUCUGCCGCGCGUCCCUUUCCUUAGUCUGUUUUCUCAGGGCAGAGGCAGACAGGCGCUUAGAAGGACUGCAGCUAGAUGGGAGUUCACUGUCUAUUCCGUAGUGGAUGACUGUGUCUGACGCUGUCUCUGAAAGAAUUCUUUGGAAUCUGUGAGUGCCAAGGAGCAGGUCCUGCCCACAGUAUAACGUGCUACAAACACUGUAUCAUGGUUUUGAGAAGCUUUUUCUCUCCAGUCACUGGCGUAGCAUUACCCUAAACCAACCAAAUCUGUUCUGCAGAACCUAGCGCUGUACGCAGGUGUAGUUCAUCUUUACUCACAGCCACACAACUUUUCUCGGUUUCAAAUCAGACUGAAGAAAUUUCUGGCCACCAAUAUGGCAUCUUUGCUUUGAGGCCAUCUUGUGCUUCUUUGGAGUUCCUCCAGCAAUAAAGCAUCCAGUCAGUUGGGAAUGUAUGACUAUUAGUAAAACAGAGCAUAUAAUCCAUUCAUUUCCCAAAUGACUUAAUCUAGGAGUCUGACUGGCGUCAAGAGAGCGAACAAGAUUUGGGGAGAGACUGGCGAGCAAGGAACACAACCAUCAAAUCAAGGGGCUUUCUCAGGUUUACUUCCAAGGCACUAGAUCAGCCUGUAUUUGCAUUUUAGAGAGUUAAGCGAGUCUCACUGCAGAUUUAAAGAAGCCUUAAAACAUGAAAGAAGCUGCCUUGUUUGUUUCUUUUUAUAGAUGAGGCAAAUGAAACUUCUCUAGCUGUGUGAGAGGGCAGGUGCUUUCCGCUCUGAGAGGGUGGUAGCUGCUGUCAUUUGUAACCCAAAGUGGUUCAACAGUAUGAACUUACUGUUUUGGACAGGAUUUACUUUCGAAAAUCUGAAGCCACUUUUAACUCUUUCAAGGCGAAGGGACGUAGGUGUAACAUGUUCUUAUUUGCAGACAUUAUGGCUUUGAUACUGUGCAUUUUGUGUCCCUGGAAACAUAAUAAUUUAGUAGCAAGGACGUCCAUAACACCAUCGACUUCCCUUGAACACGUUAAAAAAAAUAUUCUUUUGAAGCAGUAUCAGUAGUGAACAGUGAUACGCCAAGUCUGACCCAGCGCAUACUGUCAGCCCUUUGUCCUAUUUAAUAACGUCUUUUAUGACAGAAAUAUUGGAAUAAUAUUUCCCUUUGGAAAUUGUUUCAAGCAAAUAACCUCCUAAUAAAUUGCUGUGGCAAUUUAUCCUUUGUGUUUAGCAGAAUAACCAUUGGCAUGACUCAGUGGCUACACAGGGAAAGAACGGGUCACUAUUACAAAAUAUCCAACAAUUUUUAAACUACCGCUGUUGGUAUUAACAAUACCAACCCUGAGUAUUGCAAAUGAUUCUGCAAUUGAUUCUGGCUUUUUUCUUCCCAUUCAGUUUAAAAUAUCCAGUAGUAUUCUGAGAAGCCGUGAAAUCCGCAGGUCUUUU
rnacentral:lncRNA from 1 species